rnacentral:rRNA from 1 species
ACGCGUAUUCGAAGGACUCUCGGCAACGGAUAUCUCGGCUCUUGCAUCGAUGAAGAACGUAGCGAAAUGCGAUACUUGGUGUGAAUUGCAGAAUCCCGUGAACCAUCGAGUCUUUGAACGCAAGUUGCGCCCGAAGCCAUUAGGCUGAGGGCACGCCUG